GACGAACGCUGGCGGCGUGCUUAACACAUGCAAGUCGUGCGGUAAGGCCCUUUCGGGGGUACACGCGCGGCUCACGGAUGAGUAACACGUGCGCAACCUGCCCUCCCCUUUCUGAUAACUGCCUUCAACGGUCUCUAAUUCCGGCUAUUUCUUCCCCCCUCCUGCGUGGUGGUGGUAAGCCUUCGGGUGGUGGGGGAUGGGCUCGCGGUCUAUCAGCUUUUUUGUGGGGUGUUGGCGUACCAAGGCUUCGACGGGUAGCCGGCCUGAGAGGGUGACCGGCCACACUGGGACUGAGACACGGCCCAGACUCCUACGGGAGGCAGCAGUGGGGAAUAUUGGACAAUGGGCGAAAGCCUGAUCCAGCAACGCCGCGUGAGGGAUGACGGCCUUCGGGUUGUAAACCGCUUUCGCCUGCGACGAAGCGAGAGUGACGGUAGCAGGUAAAGAAGCACCGGCCAACUACGUG
rnacentral:rRNA from 1 species